ensembl:lncRNA
GAAGACAGAACUAGAAUGUCUUAAUGAAACACAAUAGAACACCCAAUAUGUUAAUGGCCCAGAAUCAUUCCUAGUCAGGACACAACACAUGAUCAGAUUCCUGUCCAUAGUGGCGGUAGGUGUUCCCCUGGUGGACAGGGUACCUGGCCUAUCUACACAGGAAGACUAAACAGAACAUAAGGCCUUCUGGUAACAUGAGGGGAACGUCGGUGGUACUCCGGCCAGAGCUACAUGUGAUGGGGGACAGAAACCAAAAAAAGAUUAAGAACCAAUUCAUGCCUCUACUUAUAGGAGACAUUUCACAUAGCACCCAUUCCCUUUACAGUGCACUACUUUUGACUAUAUAGGGAACAGGGUGCACUAUAUAGGGAAUACUACAUAGGGAAUAGGGUGUUCUAUAUAGGGAUUAGGGUGUACUAUAUAGGGAAUAGGGUGCCAUUUGGGAUGCAAACUACAAAAACAUUUAUUUUACCUAACUAGGCAAGUCAGUUAAGAACAAAUUCUUAUUUUCAAUGACGGCCUAGGAACAGUGGGUUAACUGCCUGUUCAGGGGCAGAAGUACAGAUUUGUACCUUGUCAGCUCGGGGGUUUGAACUUGCAACCCUGCGGUUGCUAGUCCAACGCUCUAACCACUCGGCUAUCCUGCCGCCCCACAAUGCACUUGGGCUUUGGUCAAAUGUAGUGCACCAAAUAGGGGAAUAGUAUAAGGGAAUAAGGGAAUAGGGAAUAAGGGAAUAGUGUGAGGGAACAAGGGAAUAAGAAAUAAGGGAAUAGGGAAUAAGGGAAUAGUGUGAGGGAAUAAGGGAAUAGUGUGAGGGAAUAAAGGAAUAUUGUGAGGGAAUAAGGGAAUAGUGUGAGGGAAUAAGGGAAUAGUGUGAGGGAAUAAGGGAAUAGUUUGAGGGAAUAAAGGAAUAUUGUGAGGGAAUAAGGGAAUAGUGUGAGGGAAUAAGGGAAUAGGGAAUAAGGGAAUAGGGAAUAAGGGAAUAGGGAAUAAGGGAAUAGUAUGAGGGAAUAAGGGAAUAGGGUAUAAGGGAAUAGUGUGAGGGAAUAAGGGAAUAGUGUGAGGGAAUAAGGGAAUAGGGAAUAAGGGAAUAGGAAUAGGGAAUAGGGAAUAAGGGAAUAGGGAAUAAGGGAAUAGUAUGAGGGAAUAAGGAAAUAGGGAAUAAGGGAAUAGUGUGAGGGAAUAAGGGAAUAGGGAAUAAGGGAAUAGUGUGAGGGAAUAAGGGAAUAGGGAAUAAGGGAAUAGUAUGAGGGAAUAAGGGAAUAGGGAAUAAGGGAAUAGUGUGAGGGAAUAAGGGAAUAGUGUAAGGGAAUAAGGGAAUAGGGAAUAAGGGAAUAAGGGAAUCAUGGAAUAGGGAAUAAGGGAAUAGUGUGCCGUUUCAGUCUUUAUCCUGUCCAGUCUUCUAGAGGUUCCGUAGCAGCCAGGUGGGAGCAGAGACUCCUGCCUGAGUAAAGUAGUUCCACCACCACGGCUUCUCCUGUCCCUCUGCUCCCAUCCCCGGUUCUCCUCCCAUCCCCGGUUCCCUGGGUUCCCUGGGUUCC